AGUGAACGCUGGCGGUAGGCCUAACACAUGCAAGUCGAACGGCAGCACAGUAAGAGCUUGCUCUUACGGGUGGCGAGUGGCGGACGGGUGAGGAAUACAUCGGAAUCUAUUUUUUCGUGGGGGAUAACGUAGGGAAACUUACGCUAAUACCGCAUACGACCUACGGGUGAAAGCAGGGGAUCUUCGGACCUUGCGCGAUUGAAUGAGCCGAUGUCGGAUUAGCUAGUUGGCGGGGUAAAGGCCCACCAAGGGGACGAUCCGUAGCUGGUCUGAGAGGAGGUACAGCCACAGGGAAACUGACACACGGCCCAGCCUCCUAGGGAGGGCGCAGUUGGGUAAUCUGGACAAUUGGGGGCAACCUUGUCCCAGCCUACCCGGGUGGUGAAGAAGGCCUUCGGGUUGUAAAGCCCUUUUGUUGGGAAAGAAAAGCAGCAGGUUAAUACCCCGCUGUUCUGACGGUACCCAAAGAAUAAGCACCGGCUAACUUCGUG
rnacentral:rRNA from 1 species